ACCUCGCAGACCCAGACCCUGCCCCCGCCCUCGCCUGACCCGUCUGCCCCGCCGAGCGCCCGGCGCGAUUCCGGCCCGGCGGCCGCUCCCUGCAACCUGGGCCUCUCGUUCUCUGACCGGCCUCCAGGGCAGGGGCCUUCGGUCAGGGCCGAGGUCCCCCACUAGAGGGCCACGAUCUGCCUACGCGGCUGUGUCGCCCCAGCGGACAGCGAGCGCCUCUGGAGCCGGCACGGCGUCCUCUUCCCUCAGAUCUGGCACCUAGUGGGGCCUAGUAGGCUGUUAAGUGAAAGGUAGCAGAGGUGGCGUGGGCCUGGCACUUAGUAGGUGCGCCCUAAAUGUUCGGUCAUCGCUGGAUCUAGGGACUUGCAAGCAGGCCUGGAGGUGCGGGGCGCUCUGACAUGUUGUCUCUGGGAUGACCGUGAGACCCGCGGCGAACAGAGUUGGAGGCCUGGCAACGGGUGCCUCCCAGGGGUAGACUGCAACAUCUCUGAGUUACAGGGGAAGCUAUGACUGUGCGAGCUUGCGAUACAGACUGAACUUCAAACAAGAUUAGACUACUGCCUGCAGACUACCAGAGACAACUAUUUAUUUGAAUGAACAGAAUCAUGGACUAAAAUAAAAGGGAAAUAAUAUGUCUGGAUAGUGGCAACACAUAGAAGCCAUCUGAUCCAACGCUGUUGGAGUACUACAGGGACAGUAAAUUUUAUCCUUACUUAGAAGUUUGGAACCAGUGAAAAGCUGAAAAUAUCAACUUUAUUACCAAUAAAGCUGAGCUGAAGAAUG